UACGUAGGGGGCUAGCGUUGUCCGGAAUCAUUGGGCGUAAAGCGCACGUAGGCGGCUUUGUAAGUUAGAGGUGAAAGCCCGGGGCUCAACCCCGGGUCGGCCGUGCGGACUGGCGUGCUCGAGCACUGUAGGGGCGGGUGGAAUUCCGGGUGUAGCGGUGGAAUGCGUAGAGAUCCGGAAGAACACCGGUGGCGAAGGCGGCCUGCUGGGCAGUUUAGCUGACACUGAGGCGCGACAGCGUGGGGAGCAAACAGG
rnacentral:rRNA from 1 species